rnacentral:rRNA from 1 species
CGGAACGGGUGAGUAACAUAUCGGAACGUGCCCAGUAAUGGGGGAUAGCCCGGCGAAAGCCGGAUUAAUACCGCAUACGACCUACGGGUGAAAGCGGGGGACCUGCAAGGGCCUCGCGUUAUUGGAGCGGCCGAUAUCAGAUUAGCUAGUUGGUGGGGUAAAGGCCUACCAAGGCGACGAUCUGUAGCUGGUCUGAGAGGACGACCAGCCACACUGGGACUGAGACACGGCCCAG